UGGAAGGGAAAUGGGCACGUAACUGUUAGGCUUCAAAUAAGGAUUGACGAAUGAGUGGUGGCCCUUGGUUCGCUGGAGUGAAAUCCUAAAAUGCCCUCCUUUUCCAUCCAGAGCCGUGCAGCCAGCACCGGUCAGUUUCAGGACACUUUUGCGAACCCAAACAAGCCCCACGCCGCUUUGUGGUCACCCCAGUCCUCCAGCCCCAGGCAGCCGCUGGUCUGCUCUCUGUGUGUGCACAUCGGCCUGUUUGGGACGUUUCAUGUGAUGCAGCUCUAGAAGCCGGUCUGCGGGCUUCUGGCGUCUUCCACGUGCUGUAGUGCUGCCAGGCUCACCGAUGCUGCGGCAAAUGUUGGAAAUCCACAGCUUACUAGAUAAGGGAAAUAAUAGCGGGAGUCUGUGUUUGUUAUUGCCGAAUAAAUGUCCCUCGUGUGAUUACA